rnacentral:rRNA from 1 species
UACGUAGGGUGCAAGCGUUGUCCGGAAUUAUUGGGCGUAAAGAGCUCGUAGGCGGUUUGUUGCGUCGGCUGUGAAAUCCCGAGGCUCAACCUCGGGUCUGCAGUCGAUACGAGCAAACUAGAGUGUUGCAGGGGAGACUGGAAUUCCUGGUGUAGCGGUGAAAUGCGCAGAUAUCAGGAGGAACGCCGGUGGCGAAGGCGGGUCUCUGGGCAACAACUGACGCUGAGGAGCGAAAGCGUGGGGAGCGAACAGG